UUUUUUUGUUUUUUUUUUUUUUUCCUCCUACAUAACAAUAUGUGAUAACACCAAAUUAUUUCUUUUAAGAUCUUUGAUUUUAUGCGUUUUCAGUCGAACAGAGUAUAAUAGCAUGGAGAACUUACGAUUUCUGACUUGUUUCCGCAUAGAGCAUGCUGUAUUUACAUAAACCAAACAAUAUUACCCCUUCGAGACAACUUCAAAAUCUCUUUCGAUGCAUGAUUUAAAGUACUUCAAAAUUUUUUCCUUGUAAAAUGUAAAUGCAUCGAAACAGCUGUAAAAUUGUAUAUGUCAGCUACAUAAACCGUGAAAUACAAUUCAUAAAUGUGCUGCAUAAACAAUGAAUCAUACAUAGAUCCAAAGAGUAACAUUAAUAAUAAUGGCAAAAAUACUCUUCACACUGACUAAAAGCCAAAAAGCGCACUGAACGUGGUCAUUCUUUAUCUCGUUUAAGCCUUACAACAUCCCUAUAAGGGAAGAACAAGUAUCAUCUUCUCUGCACAGACAAAUAAAGGCUUAGAGCAAAGGCUUCUCAGCCUUGGCCCUACUGACCCUUGGGCCAGAUAUUCUUCGUUCCGGUGAGGACACUCCGUGUGUUGUAAGGUGGGUAACAACAUCCUUGACCGCUAUCUACCAGAUGCCAGAGGAGACCCCACUCCCAGAUGUGACAACCAAACAUGUCUGCAGGGGAGCUCCCGCUGUGGUGCAGCAGAAACAAAUCCAACCAGUAACCAGGAGGUUUCAGGUUUGCAGAAACAAAUCCAACCAGUAACCAGGAGGUUUCAGGUUCGCAGAAACAAAUCCAACCAGUAACCAUGAGGUUUCAGGUUCGCAGAAACAAAUCCAACCAGUAACCAUGAGGUUUCAGGUUCGCAGAAACAAAUCCAACCAGUAACCAUGAGGUUUCAGGUUCGAUCCCUGGCCUCACUCAGUGGGUGAUGGAUCCAGCAUUGCCAUGAGCUGUGGUAUGGGUUGUGAAUGCGGUUCGGAUCCCACGUUGCUGUCACUGUGGUGUAAGCCGGUGACUGUAGCUCUGAUUUGACCCUUAUCCUGGGACCCUCCAUAUGACGCGAAUGCAGCCCUAAAAAGUGGGGGAAAAAAAAAAGUCUGCAGAUGCUGCCAAACGUUCACUUCGAAACCACUGGCUUAGAGAAAUUAAGGGAUUUACUAGAGGUUGUACACUUAAGAAUUAGUAGGUCAGGGAUUAGAAGCCAGGCCUGCUGAUUCUAGAAUGUACACCUUCAACCAAUAAAACACAGUGCUAUUCACUCUGUGAUAGUUCCGAGGACAUUAAUUUUCCCUCAAGAUAGAAAACUAAACAUGAAGAUGAACCAUGAGUGUCUUCCUGUGGAAAGAUCUUCCAUGACCACACCAGGCUGGGCCCUUCCAAGUUUUUUUUUUUUUUCCCUAAUUAAGGUCCAUGUUCCAGUGGCUGUUGACCUUGCAUAGGGCUCCCCACCUCACCUAUUCCAACUUUCUUUCUAAAAGCUGCUCCCCAGUCACUUAGUUAAGGCUGAUUCCAUUCUUCAGUAAAUAAGACACAGGCCCCGCCCCUAAAGAGCAGGGCCAACGGCUUCCUACCAAUUCCCUUACAUGCCACGGCUCUGUCUCAAAGUGCAAACCCUUUGCAUAGUGACCACUGGAUGCUGGUUUUUCUCUGAGGGAUCCUCGAGCCAUCAGCGACUAAACACUUUGCAUGUGCCAAAGACUCCCUAUGUGCUUCACAUAUACUAUUUCAUCCUGGGCUCCCAAGAACCCAAGGAGGUAUGCAUUUUUAUUUCCAUUUGACCCAGAGGAAGAGGUUCCUGCAAGCAGGGAACUUAGCCAAGCCUGACAACAAGAUCUGUACCAGGACUCAUAUUUCAAUCAAGGAAUGGAUGACUCUGAACCCCUUGCUCUUGACCCAACCCUCUGCCCUUUUCAUUUCAUGGAUGAGCAAAGACUACAGACGUGUCUCUUCCAAAGCAUGUUCUUGGCUUAAUCUACUCCCUCCAGCUUGCUUAGAAAUGUUCACGUAGGCCCCCCUCUCACCCAAGUUAUGGGAAUAAAUAAUACAGAGCAGAGCGUGGUUCUACUCGUGCAGAGCCGAAGGGGAAAAGUCAGGCAGUGACCUCAUGAACUUCAAAAAGGCAUUACCAUAUUCAAUCAGAGGAUAGAAAAAUACAGGGCAAGUUUUCCUUUAUCUGAUCCUAUCUUUGUUAUUUACUUUUUAUGCAUAAAGAGUUGUGUAUUCAUGUAUGACUGAUUAUAUCGCUUCAAAGCACUUUAAGCGGUAAGUACUAAAAUAGAAAAAAGAAAAAACAAAGAAACCUGAUGGUAGAGGUGAAGGAUUUUUCCUGUUUCAAUCACAUUAUUUAAAUAUAGCUUGUUGGGUUUGGGGUUUUUUUGGGGGGGGGUUUGUUUGGUUGGUUUGUUUUGGUUUUUUUGUCUUCAUUGAGCUUUCCUGAGAACUUCAACUUUGAGGUUGAAGCCAAAUAUGAAAAUUUUCAAAUGUCUAAUGUUUUGAUGAGAAAAGAAAAACUGGCAGAGUAGGGAAAUGAACUCCAACAGGCAUAUUUUUCUGAUGCUUUGAUUUUAUUCAGCUUUAAGCUGCUUCAUUUAGGGGCACAGGUGGGGAGGGGUUCCAUGGUUGUAAAAAAAAAAAAAUGAUAAAACCACAAGGAUGGAAAAAAACCCAGGAAGUUUUUGGCAUCUCAAGAGUCUGCCUUUAAACCCUGGCUCAACAUUUCUCUACUUUGUGACGUCAGUCAAGUUACAAAUAUUCCCAAAGGUCUUAAUCUAUAAAGAACUUCAUCAGUAAAAGAAACUCUGAUUGCUGUGAAGAUUAAAUAAGAUCAUGCACCUGAAGCACCUGCCACAUGAUGGACCCACAAUAAAUGUAACAGAGUGCCCUUUAGACAUAUUUGUCAAAGUUUAUGUUUUAGCAAUUGUCCCUUUAAUGUCCUUCUCAUGAUUAGUUCACACUACUAUUCAGGCGAAAUCAGAAGUAUCUAAAUCCUAGGUGAUCUGGCUGAUGGCCAAAGGACCAUCACUAUGGGGUCAGACUGUGUCACCUGCCCAGUGACCUCUGUGCUAACUGGCAAUGUUCCUUUUCUCCAAUGAUUUAGUUACAGGUCAAAGAGUGGUUGUCAUCACUGCAAAUGCCAUUUGAUGGUCUGGGCUUCCUUGUAGAAACCCUCAGUAAUUAGAAUUAGAGAAUACCAUUUUUGAGCCAAAAAGGAACCAUAGAAAGUCUUAUGUUCAAUCUCCUCUCUUUACAUAUGAGGACACUGAGAUAAGGAGGGAGUAAACUGCAAAUACAAACUGGUAACAGAAUUGAAAUGUGACUCAAUCUUUUGUCUACACCAGUGGUUCUCAACCAGAGGUGACUAUGUCCCCCCACACACAAGGGACAUUUUUUGUUGUCACAACUAGGGAAAGGAGGUUUACUAUUGGUAUCCAGUGAGUAGAGGCUGGGGAUGUUACUAAACAUCCCACCAUGCACAGGAAAGCCCCUACAAUGAAACCAUCAAUAGUACCAAGGUUAAGAAACUUUGAUCUAGGAGUUCCCAUUGUGGCGUAGUGGAAACAAAUCCAACUGGUAUCCAUGAGGAUUAGGGUUUGAUCCCUGGCGUCUCUCAGUGGGUUGGGGAUCCGGUGUUGCCAUGAGCUGUGGUUUAGGUCGCAGACAUGGCUCGGACCCCAUGUUGCUGUGGCUGUGGUGCAGACCAGCAGCUGCAGCUCCAAUUCGACCCCUAGCCCAGGAACUUCCAAAUGCCGCAGAUGCAGCCCUAAAAAAAGGAAAGAAAAGAAAAGAAACUCUGAUCUAUACUAUUGGACCCAGUGUCCCCAGACACUUCAAAAGCUGCCUCUUCAGCUGCUGCUAUUAGACUUUGGACCGAGCCCCAAGCUGGAAGCCCUCACCAAUGACUGAAUCGAUCAGGUCAAUUCUGCCUCUUUAGUAUUGAAGACCACUGGGAUUAGGAGGGAUUUAGAGACUUGCCUACUCAGGCAACUGAAAGUCUGGGCUUAACUUCGGAAGCAGAGUAAUAUGCCCAGCAUGAGUGUUGCUAAAGUCUUAACGAGGUACUCAGGUCUUAGGCAAUCUAAGAAAAUGAUUCUCAAAGCUGUUUUGGCCAAACAUCACAAAACAGCCAAAUGACGCACACCACAUAGUUAUCAAGUAUUCAGAAUAAAGCAUCACCAACAAAUACAUCCGAUGCUGCACUAAACAUCUCCAGGAUUAAUGGUUUGAUGGAGGAGAUAACAGAGAUUCAAGCACUAAUGUAGAGCAAAAAUACUCUCAGAGUUUCUCCCCAAAGCUAGAGUUCCAUAUUAAAAGAACUUAAACAGAAAAGCAGAGUCAAUGAUCCAAGCAAUUGCAUAUUUUUUGGUUCUUGCCCAUGCAUGCCAUCUGGCUUGCUGACCUCAUAGGCCUCUACCCGGGCGGGUGUGAAGGCCAAACAGAGCUUGAAUGUGUGAAUAUGUGGUGAUCACAAGUAUGAGUCAUUUAUCAAUCUGAACUUAUCUACCUACAUUUCCACCUGGUAAUUCUGGCUUCUGACCCAUGAUAGAAAUAUAUGAAGAAUCCCUAUUGGAUUCGCUCAUAAAUUCAACUCACAUUUAGUAAAUAAAUACCACUUAUAUCCAAGUCACCAUGCUUUGGGGAAGCCUAUCCCCUACUCAAAAAAAAAAAAAAAAAUCCCAAUGAUGCCAAGAAGAAUGACAUAGACCCAACUAACUAGUUCUUGUACAUAGGACUAGAGCAGCGGUAACUGGGGAAACAAGCUUGCUCUCAGAGGGAAAGAUCUAAGAAGGCUUUUUGGAAAGAAAUGGUAUUUGAAUUGGAUAUGGAGAAAAACAUGGGACUUCAACAGGUAAAAAUGAGAACAUUGAAAAUAGGAGAAAGGUUAUAAAGGAAGAAGAGAGGAUAGAAAUUACAAGGCAAAUAGGACCAUCAGUGAGGAGUUGAGCUUGAUGGGAACUUAGGGAAUAACAGAGACAAGCAGGAAUGUUGAGUUGGAAGCAGAUAU
rnacentral:lncRNA from 1 species